UACGUAGGGUGCAAGCGUUAAUCGGAAUUACUGGGCGUAAAGCGUGCGCAGGCGGUUGUGCAAGACAGGUGUGAAAUCCCCGGGCCUAACCUGGGAACUGCAUUUGUGACUGCACAGCUGGAGUGCGGCAGAGGGGGAUGGAAUUCCGCGUGUAGCAGUGAAAUGCGUAGAUAUGCGGAGGAACACCGAUGGCGAAGGCAAUCCCCUGGGCCUGCACUGACGCUCAUGCACGAAAGCGUGGGGAGCAAACAGG
rnacentral:rRNA from 1 species